rnacentral:rRNA from 1 species
CAAGAGCGUAUGUAAAAGUUGUUGCAGUUAAAAAGCUCGUAGUUGAACCUUGGGUUUGGUUGGCCGGUCCGCUUUUUUGCGAGUACUGGAUUCGACCGAGCCUUUCCUUCUGGCUAACCAGUCGUUUCGGCGGCUGGCGAACCAGGAUUUUUACUUUGAGAAAAUUAGAGUGUUCAAAGCAGGCAUUAGCUUGAAUAUAUUAGCAUGGAAUAAUAGAAUAGGACGUUAUGGUUCUAUUUUGUUGGUUUCUAGGACCAUCGUAAUGAUUAAUAGGGACGGUCGGGGGCAUCAGUAUUCAGUUGUCAGAGGUGAAAUUCUUGGAUUUACUGAAGACUAACUACUACGAAAGCAUUUGCCAAGGACGUUUUCAUUAA